rnacentral:rRNA from 1 species
GACGAACGCUGGCGGCGUGCCUAAUACAUGCAAGUCGAACGCACUCUCGUUUAGAUUGAAGGAGCUUGCUCCUGAUUGAUAAACAUUUGAGUGAGUGGCGGACGGGUGAGUAACACGUGGGUAACCUGCCCUAAAGUGGGGGAUAACAUUUGGAAACAGAUGCUAAUACCGCAUAAAACCUAACACCGCAUGGUGUAGGGUUGAAAGAUGGUUUCGGCUAUCACUUUAGGAUGGACCCGCGGUGCAUUAGUUAGUUGGUGAGGUAAAGGCUCACCAAGACCGUGAUGCAUAGCCGACCUGAGAGGGUAAUCGGCCACACUGGGACUGAGACACGGCCCAGACUCCUACGGGAGGCAGCAGUAGGGAAUCUUCCACAAUGGACGAAAGUCUGAUGGAGCAACGCCGCGUGAGUGAAGAAGGUUUUCGGAUCGUAAAACUCUGUUGUUGGGAGAAGGUAAAUGUAUCUGAUAGUAACUGAAUCAGGUAGUGACGGUAUCC